UUGGAUUCUGGGAUACGUACGUACCUCUCAUCACGUCACGUAUCAGACAUAACUGUAUAAACCCACCCUUUGACGGAACACACCGGCCACUGCUGGUCAACAUCACGGCCUAAACAUGAAGAAGAAGAUGUCUCUUGCUAACCAAGCGGUUAUCGUGGUUGGUUUAAUCGUCGGGAUUUUUAGCCUGGCUCCCUACUUGAUCGUCAUGCUGUAACGGCGCCACCAUACCAAGGUCUUAACGGGCCUCUGUCGGCUCCGUCUUAAGGUCAGCGAGGUGAAGAAGAAACAUCAUGGCGGCCUCCAUGACCUUCCACGCAUUCGAGAAUAACAACGAUGCUGCAGUUACAGGAGCCUUUCCAACAUCGCACCCUCUUACUUAGAAACCACCUGCACAGCCAGAAGACACACUUAAUCUAGACUCUUGGUGAUCAUCAGCAUCCUUUCGGCGACAAAUCUCCUCUUCCAAUGAUUUGCAUGCAAGGAUAGACAACAUACGCACCGGACACAGAAUACUAGUAGAUCAUCGAGCUUCAUUUGUUGGUUCUUCGAACAUCUCGCCUCGCUCCAUCAGGAAAAUCUACUGGUGACUCGGACUGUAUCUGGGAAACAUCUGUAACUAUUAGAGUUGAUGGGUUGAUAUCUACGUACUGUGCUCGCUUCCUCUUUCGCCUUUUCGUGUUAUCAUUUGUUUACUUUGUUUCAUUCAUCGUUAAAUGUAUGAUCUUUCACAUGCCGUCAGACUGAAACGUCCGUUAGCAACAGGAAGAUGUUGAGACUUGUUCCAUAGGUACAAGAAAUUUGUCUUACAAAAGAUGUUGGACUCACUUCAAAUAUCUAUGGACUUGCUGUUGGUACCGUACUGACUUUUCUUGCUGACGAAUAUAACGAAUGUUGUUAUAUCGUUUUCGAGAAGACUGUUUUAGCCUGGCAACCUGGUUUUAUAGUUCGUUGGUAGUGAAGUAAAACCAGAUUGUUAGGAUAACCUACUCGAUGAAUGGAAUAGUUUAAUCAACAUGCAAUAAAGAUAACAUUGGUAUAACUUUGA